AUAUUUUAUACAAGAUACAAGGGAAAAAAAUCCUAACAAAAUGACAUCUAAUAAGGAGUAGUAUGCUUUAUCACAACUUUGGCAUUAAACUGUAUGGACUACAGUUUUAUAUAGCAGCUUAUUGUAACUGCUCUGUUCUUUAUUUAUAAAAUCAGUGAGUAACAUAGGUUGGUAAAGAUCCCUAGAAGUUUUCUGGUCUGACCCCCUUCUACAACACGGUCCAAUUGAAUCAGUUUGCUCAGGGGGUUUUCAAGGUUGGAACAUCUUCAAGAAUGGAAGUUCCACAACCUCUUUGAGCAACAAGUGCAUAGUAAAUAAUUAUAAUAACAAUAAAGGAAGAAAAAUCCUUGUAUCUAUUUGAUAUUUCCAGUGUUUCAGCUUGUCUGUUGCCUUUCAUGCUGUCUCUGCAUAUCUACCCAUUAGAGGGUUGUGAACAGCAAUGAGAUCUCCCCUGAGCCUUUCCAUCUUAAUGGUGAAAAGACCUAAUUAUCUCAGCCUCUCCAUGGGCGUCCAAAUCUGAUGAAUUUGGUUGCCCUUCAUUAAACACCAUUGUGUCAAUGUUGUUCAUGUUCUGGGGAGCCCAAAAGGGGACAUGAUCCAGGUGUGUUCUCAUGUGUGCCAAAUGCCAGGGAAGAAUUGCUUCCUUCAGCCUCCUGGCUCUCCUAUAUAUAUCAUGAUGCAGCAGAUCUUUGCUGCUGCAAGGGCUCAUUGCUCAUGCACUCUUAGUGUGCAAAAGCCACUAACAUGGCUAUACUGAUUUUCUGAGUCAGAGGCUCAGGAGAUGCAGGAGAGUUCUGGCCUCUCUUAAUCCCCUGUGCUACCUUCCUUCAUUAUGGCCAUGUAGCUACCUUCUGAGAAUGAUUCCUGAUGUAUCCUUGAGAGUGACAGGGCAUGGGAGUUGCUGACUUAUGCUUGUCAGUGAAAUUCACCUUAUCUGUUCCUGCUUUCAUUUUUUUCAUCACGUAGCAAUGGGUAUGAAUACCAAGCAAAUGUUUAGUGUCAGCAAGUAAGAAUGCAUAUCCCCCUCUCUUCUCCAUGCUCAAGAACAAGCAUCAGUUUGGUGUUUCUCCCACUGAAAUGCACUUUGAUGACAAAAACUUUUUCUUUCUUGGCUUGGAUCAAAAUGAAUGUUUUAGGGAAGAGUAAGAUCAAAUGAUGCUUUUUUUUUUUUUCGUUCGUCACAAAGUGAGAAUUAUUCCUCUUUACCAGAACUGUGGUAGACAAAUACACAUGCAAAAUGGAGGUAUCAAAGACUGUCAAAAUAUGCAUCAAUCAAACUUUUUGUGUUAAAGGAGCCAAAACCAGUUUCUGGAAGGUAAAAGACAAAGAGAAUACAAAUAAGGCAACCAGAUAUUUUACCUCCUUCUGCUUUUAUUGCAGACUUUUUUACAGAACAGCAUUGUUAUCUGAAAGUGAUUACUUUCUGUUUCAGCAAGGUGUAAACUCAGAUAAAGGAUGAUGUAUCCCAAAUGUAAAUGGAAAUAUGAAAAUAAAGUUCUUUAACUGGCCUUCUUGAGGAAAGGAACUGUGCUGCUGAUCGAGCAGGUCAUUUCUGUCAUUAUCUAAUGUGACUAAAUAAACUGAGAUCCACAAUGAACAGUUAGUACAGAAAUUUGCAAAUGAGUGUUACAGCUCUGGAGGUUACAAGUAUCCCCACUUUUAAUUUUUUUAUCCAUUUAAAUUUAACUGUAUUCAUUGUAAUAUAGAUUUUCAAGCAUCUUAAUCUUUAAGCAUCCCUACUCUAGUUUUUAUGUUAGUGAAUUCAUUGAGAUUAUAAUGUGCUAUAAGAAAAAUCACUCUAUUCAUAAUCGGCAAAGAAAUAUGAGCACUGAUCUUCCAUCUAGGAAUUAUUUAUGUUGGCACAUCAGUAGGAUGAAGGUUUUUGAAAGCAGGAAUCAGACUAACUCGUGCAUCCUGUCUGCUGAGGCUGUGUGAAGGUGCUCUGGUUAGCUUGUGUUCCUGAUUUUACCCUUACAUUUAUUCACAGGUAUUGUAUGCUUAUUCAUUAGUCUACCAAUAUCAUCCCUUACAGCACUCCUUUAUGGAGAACAGGGUUCCUGUUCUUUGUCUUCAGUAGUUAUUUUCAUCCCUCUUAAACUUUGUUUUGCCAAGCUAAACUGUCUUGGCUUCUAUGGGAAGAUAUGAGUAAGUGAAUAGACAGACUAGUAUUAAUUUUCUGGUCAUACUGCUGAUUCAGUUCCCUUUUUUGAAUGACCAGAACUGUGUAUCAUAUGAGGAGGGAUUUUACUGUGGUGUGUCAAAACAUUGCUGUCACCAUUUUUCAAAUGCAUUCCAAGCAUCCUGCUGGUGACUCAUUCUGAACUGUCAUCUUUCAGUUAUAACAACACAGUUUUAUUUCUUUUUAACCACUUCCUACUAUUAAAUCAUUGGCUCUACAAUGAAACUCUGAGGAUGCAGCCACGCAUGGCUGCUUCUGUUACUGGUUCCCUGGAUCAUACAAUUCUUCUUUCAUACCAUUAAUGCCUCUUAAAUUAUUUGAAGUGACACUUUUUCUAAACUAUUUCUACUUUCUUGUCAAAGACAACUGAAAAUUUUGUAGAAAAAAGAAAAA